GAUAGUUGCACAUCUGAAUUGUUGGUAGUUUAGUUUUUCGCCUACAAGUUCCGAUGAUUGGUGUUAGCCCAAAACACGAACAUAAAGGAUUCCCUUGACAUUAACAUCGUGAGACCUCUCAACAUAGAAUGGUUUGAUCGAUAUAACUAGGUGAUAUGUUUACGAGAGAGAGAGAGAUAUACUCACGCCACGUAGCAGCUCACGUGUUUAUCGAUCAUUGUGGCGGCCAGACUAACAUCAUCUAACACGUUGUUUCCUUAUUGUUUGACGGCGUUUUCUGUGUCGCACGAACAUCGAAUGAACACCCACCUAGGGAAAGGCAACCGUGGGCGUUUUUUCGUGAAAGGAUUGGGUCAUUCAUUCGUUUCACUUGACUUGUUUUUUUGUGUUUCUUCGUGACUAUCGUCUCUCCCGAUUCCUUUCAUGCAAAGAACUCACGACGCUCGUCCUUCAAGAAGAAAGUAUCAGCACACAAGGACUGGUUACAGUGUAAUACGAUCAUCAGAAAUUAGACUUGCCCGUGGUGAGUAUCUCCGUUUCCAAAAAAGUAACUAAAGGAACAUUUGGGACCGGGUUCAGCACUAUAAACGUUUUUCACGACAGUUAAUUCGAAUUGGUUGUUGCUCAGGUGUUUGCUGUACAGCCUCAAGGAAGGUACACUGCACCAGUAACGGCCGAGGAAUGGCGUCGGCAAAGUUGCUCCUUGCGCUUCCGUUGUUCCUUCCCGUGACCACCUGGAGACGUGAUUGACAACAAGAACGACACAUUGAUGCACCACAGCCAGUCGUUUCAAAUCACUGGCCACUUUGUUCAGUAAACUGAUGGCUGCAAUAAAAACAAAACAUAAAGUUGGAUUAAGUCUCAAAGGUGUCCAUGCCUUAUAUGUUUUCGGCACUCGAGGGUUUAAUUAACUGAUGAUAAGUCAUUUUUAUGUACAUACAGUCGUUAAAUGCGUCCCCACGUAUGGGUAAGAAUAAAGUGGCUAGACUGUCAA